ACACACACAUAUAUAUAUAUAUACAACCACUGUGCUCUUUAAAUGUUAUUCAUAACAGGCUCCACACUUCACAUUAAUCUACUGUGGAAAAAAACUAAUUACGGCCUUGUCUUCCUGCAACCAAAUAGAUCUCAUUUAAAUCUAGCAUUUAACUGCACUUAAAGCAUCUUUCUGGUCCAUGAAAGCAAAUAUUAAUGACGAUCCUGACCAGUGACCAACAUCCCUCACAGCAUUCAUGCAGAGAAAUGUCCAUCAUAAUAGACUAGAUUAGCCUACGUUAGCAGACACACCCUGCCUUCACCACAUAACGAUUGAUUUAAUUUGAGGAAAAACUAAAGACUAAAGUGACUGCACGAUCCUAGGAGAGAAGACAGAUAAAACAAGUGAUAAGCACAAAUUCGGAACAACUUGGCUUCCGUUUGUUAGCAAAUUCUUUCACCGGCCUAAAUCAUCAGCUUUUGUGCUACCAGUCAUGCUAUUAGAUGAGCUAUCCUGGACACUACGAGAUGAAGAACACCUACUUGAAGAACUCCCUCCUGUAACACUAUUUUCCUUCCCCUGAGAUUUUUUGGAUUUUCUUUGUCCUGAAGAUAAAUCCUGAUCUGUUGUAGACCCUGGAGUCUUCAACUCCAGUUCUGUUGUAACAUCAUCAUUACAGUCCAAACUUUUUCCAAUCUUGCUCUCCCCUGAUGAUUUAUUCUUCGAAUCUUGUUUGCCCGAAACGUGGGAUCCACUGGCAGGCUGUGCAAGUGAAGAUGCAUGUUGAGUGGACUGCUGAUCAACCAAGGUAUUAGGAGUCAUAAAUGGGACAAAAGUUGAACAGGGAUUAUGGAUUACUGCAGGAUUCUGAUUUCCAAAGAAGGGGUAUGCUUGCAUGGAUGGAUGCAAAGGAAUUGGCCCUGGAGGCAAUGUCACUGGCAUGGGGAAGGGACAAGAAGUUGGGGCCAUGACAACUGAGUGAUCCAUAGCAACCCAUGGGUACAUAGUCCUGAGUCUUUGCUGAUAUUGGAUAUUAAGAUUCUCAAUGUCGGAUUUGAGAGAUGCCUUCUCUUCUCUAAGGUCAUUUUUCUCUUGUGUCAACUCACGUGAUUCUUCAGUCAAUGUAGCAUACUCUGCCUUAAGUUUGUUGACUUGAGAUGUCAAAUCCUUCAACAACUGUAUUGUAUCCGCCAGAAUGGUUGCUUUGUCAUUUUUGGGUCUAUCAGGAUCUUCCAUAUCAGUUGCUGAUCCAGAACUGUUAAUCCCUUUCUGCAGCUGAAUAUCAUUCUCCCUUGGAGUCGAAAGAAUUCCCUUCCUCCCAACAUUGAUCACAGAUGCUCCAGCCUCUUCAUUUUCUCCUUGAUUAACCACCCUACUUUUCUCGGGUAAAUUUCCUCCAAAGAUGGAUCACAAUUCCUCCAAGAGAGCAUUCCUGGAGUCAACUAUCCCUUGCUGCACACCUUUCUGUACACUCUGCUUAAUUUCCUCUUUCAAUUCAUCCUUGUUCUUUCGAGUCUCUUCUUGCAAAGCCCUAACUACCUCUUCCAAUUUAGAGAUUCUUGGUUCCUGAGUAACCACACCAGAUCUAGUCAUUCUUGCGACACCUUAGAUCCACAAAUGAAGCUAAUCCCACACGCAACUCAGCUCUAGCGCAUUUCCCAACUCAAUAAAGUGCUCAUUUAGCCGAUCUCUCCUCAAUUUCUCACGAUCAGCCUUCUGAAUUUUUCUUGCAGCUGCACUAUCCUUGACUUCUGAAUCUGGCCUUUGACUGGACCUGGCAUGAGAGACAGAAGGCAGUGGUUGCUGUUGAUGGAAAUCAGUGAAGGGAGGAUUUGGGACUUGUAUUUGCAUGGACUGAUUAUAGAAAGCAUCGUUUUUUAGCUGAUCCAUUAUGGCGUAGUGAUCAAAACUGGAAAGGAAGAGAAGAGCGUCCACUGCCCGUAUAUUUUUGUGUGGAAGAGCGUGUAAGCUUAUCCAUUCUCCCAAUCUAUUUUCGUUGCUUUCGAGCUUG
rnacentral:misc_RNA from 1 species